GAAGAUGAAUGUAAAAAUCCACUUACUAAUAAAUGUUCUCACAUUUGUCAUAAUACUCCAGGGGCUUAUAAUUGCAGCUGUAAAUUAGGUUUUAGUUUGCAACCGGAUGGAAUUACUUGCCUAGAUGUAAAUGAAUGUCAAGAGACUUCAAAUAAUAAUUGUUCUCAGAUUUGCAUUAAUACAGAUGGUUCAUAUCUUUGUAGAUGUAAAAUUGGCUAUUAUCUUCAUACUGAUGGAAAAACAUGCUUAGGUAU